rnacentral:rRNA from 1 species
CGCAAGCCUGACGGAGCAAUACCGCGUGAGGGAGGAAGGCUCUUGGGUCGUAAACCUCUUUUCUCAGGGAAGAACACAAUGACGGUACCUGAGGAAUCAGCAUCGGCUAACUCCGUGCCAGCAGCCGCGGUAAUACGGAGGAUGCAAGCGUUAUCCGGAAUGAUUGGGCGUAAAGCGUCCGUAGGUGGUUCUGUAAGUCUGUGGUUAAAGCGUGGGGCUCAACCCCAUAACGGCCAUGGAAACUACAAGACUUGAGUGAAGUAGGGGUAGAGGGAAUUCCCAGUGUAGCGGUGAAAUGCGUAGAGAUUGGGAAGAACACCGGUGGCGAAAGCGCUCUACUGGACUUAAACUGACACUGAGGGACGAAAGC